CGCCCCGGGAGGGGCCGGGCGGCCGAGCUGCGCCUCUCACACUGUGUGUUUUGUCUGUUUUUCUCUCCCAAGGUCCCGUUUCCCUCUGUGCGGCGGCCGGCGGGACCAUAAGGGCUUAACUCAUAUAUUUAACCCCCCUCCAAAAAGAUUUGAAAGUAUUCUUGAAGGGCUGUUUGGACCUGCAUUAUUAAAAGAUCUCAGUUUAUUUAAAGACUGUGAACCUGAAAACAUUUCUGAUUGGACUUUUGAUGAAAAUUGUCUAUUCUGUUGCUUGAGAAGAGAUAAAGUAAAGGGACACUUAGUCGGUCUGGAUGAACCAGCUUCGGGAGCUGGGCAAGAAGCUCUGCUUAAACAAGAGCAAGCAAAAAUCAUUCGAUUCGAG
rnacentral:lncRNA from 1 species